rnacentral:lncRNA from 1 species
CUGGCUUUGAACUCAAGAUCCUCCUCCCACUGGGAUUAUAGGCUUGCAUCACCAUGCCCUGCUACAUAAUACUUUCAUUAGGAAAAAUUCAAAAUAUAAACAUAUUUAAAAUUUUUAUAUAUGUUGCAAAAUUGUCCUUCAGGAAAGUUCUGUGCCUCUACCAAUAGUAUAUGAAAACCUCUACCUGUAUGGUCUCACCAAUAUUUAUUUAAUCUUUUCCCGUGUUACACGUGUUUCCUGUUUUUCUUUUUGAAGAUAAUUUAUCUCCUCAUGACCCAGAGCUUUCCGAACUGUGUAGCAUUGCAAGCCAGGCUUCUUUUUUCCGAAUAGGCAUUUCUUUAUCUGUAUGUGUAUCAGAGGGUGGGCUUGGAUUUGCCCACCACCCUCAGCAAUAAAGAAAGCUCAUAUUUGGUAGGUGUGCUAGUCCUUUAUUGAAUAUUAAUUGAGCCUAAUUAUUUCCCAGACCCUGUGGCACAUAAUAGAAAUAUAGUGACGAGCAAACCAGUUAUUCAUCUCUCAAAGAGUUUAUGUUCUUGCUUAUAGAUGGUUUAAGGAUUGCCUGUUAAUGUUUUGCAGAGGUACUGCUUUAAGAACACACAACCUGGGUUAAUUUAAGAUAAGGAGUUAUCAUCUACAGGAGAGAGAGAUAGACAUUAAAGCCCAGUACUCUUAGUAUAAGGCUGUUGAAACUUAUUUGCUGGAUGUUUAAGAUUAAGUUUUAAAAUUAAAGUUAAAUUAAAAGGGCCAAGAAAACCAAUAUUUGGCUCUUGCCCUCUAAGUCAGUCUGAAUCAGGGAAUAGGGGACUUCUCCAAAGGGCUCUGCAACUCUAGGCCACAUAACCUCCCGAUCAGGGAGAUUAAUGAGACCAGUGGAGGACAGAAAGCCAAUCAGUGCAUUUGCUGUGAAGAGGAGGGUCAUCACAAAAGGGAGACAUCCCUGAUGCUUCCAAGGGAAGCCACAUGGUCAAGCAAGGCCUGGACCCAUCCUAGUGCAAUGGCACUAGCAGAACUGAGAAGCUGCUGUGAAGUUCCCCGAGGACUCCCAGGGAAGCUCAGCUGACUGUUAACAAUAGAUAAAAACAAAAGUCAGUUUGACUUGCUUCAUCUUAAACACUUAGCAAAGACAGUCAAAGCCAAAGCACAGCUGUUCCUGGACAUUUUAAAUAAUAAUAAUAAUAGUUAAAUGCAACUUCCAAAAAUAAGUAAACUGGAGGCUACAAAAGAGAUUCUCAGACAGAAAUGCCUGAUAACUAUCAAAAGGAACUGCCAGAGUAGUUUUUAGUUUAAGGCCUUUAUUUCUAACUUACACAGGUAGGCUUAGUGUUUGCAAGUAUUGUUAUCCAGCCCUAAGUAACAGAAUUAAAGAUUUCUCCAUUAGACACAGAGGUCAUACUAGUAAAAGGAUUUUGCAAGAUCAGAUGACAUUAAAUUAUUAAACUAUAUCUUAAGGGAAAGGACAUCUGUAACCCUAAAAGUUAAAUGUUGUGUUUACAUUCCUGACAAUUCUGGCAAUGUGACAAAUAUCCUUAAAGAUUUACAUGCUCAGAUAGAAGCCAUGUCCUCAGCAACUUUGUCAUGGAAACAAUAUCUUAGCUCCUGGUUCUUGGUACUUCCUGGUGGAAAACAUUGUUUGUCUUUGUCUUUGCCAUCAUACUCAUUGGCAUAUUCCUGUGCUAUGGCAUUUAUUGCUGCAUCAAUAUGGUUCCAGUACUAAUGAAUUCUUGUUUCUCUUAUAGACCAUCCAUCACUCAAAUGGCCCUCCAGCCUAUUACUUCUCAAUCAGACUUCUAUCAUGGACCACUCGAUAGACCCGAUUUUUAAAGGGGGACUCCAAACUGCUUGCCCCACAUCGUCCCUUUUCAGCCUGAAGAAGCCAGAAAGAUCUUCUUCGCCCCCCUUCCUUACAGCAGUAAGGAGUUCCCAACUUAGAGGGGGGAAUGAAGCCAGAUUUAAAGUUAGGUAGUCAGUGUAGUUAGAUAAAUCGGGUCUAAUAUCGAGUGAAAUCUAAAAUGGAGGCCAUGCUGGCAAUGA